rnacentral:SRP_RNA from 1 species
GCUGAGCUGGGUUACUCCAGCUUGUGACCCAAGUGGGAGCAUCAAUGUGAUGGAACAACAUUCAGACUUGCUGGGUUGGGCUGUGUUUGCAAUAUGCUGGCCUGCCCAUUCCAAGUUGAGAGUUGAGUCUGGGGACUUUGGUGAAGGCUAAGGUCUCUUGGCUCUUAGAGUGGAGGGCACAGCGUGAGGCUGGUUUCACAGAGCAGCGACCACCUCCCAUUCCCAACAGAUAGUGGAAGGAUCACAGGCUGCUGCAUCCAUUGCUCAUAAUGGCCUAGUGAGUCUAUUCUGCUUGUGGACCAUCAUCACUUUU